AGAACGAACGCUGGCGGCAUGCCUAAUACAUGCAAGUCGAACGAAGGCUUCGGCCUUAGUGGCGCACGGGUGCGUAACGCGUGGGAAUCUGCCCCUUGGUUCGGAAUAACAGUUGGAAACGACUGCUAAUACCGGAUGAUGACGAAAGUCCAAAGAUUUAUCGCCAAGGGAUGAGCCCGCGUAGGAUUAGCUAGUUGGUGAGGUAAAGGCUCACCAAGGCGACGAUCCUUAGCUGGUCUGAGAGGAUGAUCAGCCACACUGGGACCGAGACACGGCCCAGACUCCUACGGGAGGCAGCAGUAGGGAAUAUUGGACAAUGGGCGAAAGCCUGAUCCAGCAAUGCCGCGUGAGUGAUGAAGGCCUUAGGGUUGUAAAGCUCUUUUACCCGAGAUGAUAAUGACAGUAUCGGAGAAUAAGCCCCGGCUAACUCCGCGCCAGCAGCCGC
rnacentral:rRNA from 1 species